AAAAAAAAAAAUAUAUAUAUAUAUAUAUAUAAUUUUGCAUUUUUCUUUAUUCGAAAUAUUUUAGAGGGUUGAGCGUGGUUCGGGUUCGGAUUGGUUUGAGACUCAAACCACAACCAAACCGUUUUGUUCGGUUUUGUAAUAUUUUAAACUGCAACCACAAUUGAAAAGGCUUUGACUGAUUAUUUUGUUUACAUCAUUUUUCGAUACGGUGCGGGUCAGUUUCUAUGUAAACCGAUUUAUUUAUUUUAAGAAGAACAGGAUACCCAAAGUCACAGCUAUUUUUUAUCUCGAUGUGGGCAACUUUUUAUUUUAAGAGAUAGAUUCAGAGAAAGAGAGUGGAGAAACAUAAAGGAGAAAGGGGGUUGAAUAAGCUUGAGGGUAAUAACGUCUUUUUAUUAAAAAUCAUGAAAAAGAUUUUCAUUGGAAUAGUUUAUAGUUUAGCUGACUUUGUGCAAAUGCAGUUUCCCUUUUUUUUUUUUCAAGUACAUAACAUGAAGAAUAUUAAUCGAUUUCAUCUUUAUAUAGCUAAGGCGAAAAUUCUUGCAUGGUGCAUGGUCCAUUUGGGCCAUAGUUAGGAUAGGCGCAUGAGUGCGUGUGAGCGUGCGUGGGCUAGUUUCAAUAAGAUGUAAAGAUAUAGAUGGUUAGCCACUUAGACUCAGUUAACAGAAGCAGACUAACACUACCAGAAGAAAGACUUUAGCCGACGAAAAAAAAAACCAGGCCGACGAAUCAAUUUUUCGUCAGCUAAAGUAGACUUUAGUCGAUGAAAUUUUCCUUCGUCAGCUAAAAUUUAUUUUCGUCGGCUAAAGUUCUUUAUAUUCGCAGAUCUGGACAGUAGCUCAUCUGAGAAAAAAAAACGGGAGAAAAAGUUUGGGUGUUGUUGAAAUCUGUCCAUAAUUAAGAAGUGGAGCUAUAUAUAGGUACGUACAUGUGUAUAUAUGUUGAUUUUGAGUUGAUCGAUUUUGAGUGUGAUUGAAUUGAUAGAUUUUAAGUACGUUUGAUGUAUAUAUAUAUAUAUAUAUGUGUGUGUUUGUUGAUCGAUUUGGUUGAUGAUUUGAUAAUAUAUAUGAAGUUGUUGUUAAUAAGUAGUAGAUAUAUAUAUGUUAAUUAAUUUAUAAUAUUGUGUUGAUGGUAUGAAGUUGUUGAUGAUGAUUUUGUGAUGAUGUUGAUAUAUAUAAUAUUGUUAUAUAAUUAUUAAUUAAGUAUAUCUAUAUAUAUGUGUAUGUUAAUUAAUUUGUUAUCAAUUAGUUGUAGUACGUAGAAUAUAUAUAAAUGAAUUAAAAUUUUAUAUAUGGCAUAGAAUUUAAUUAAUAAUUAGCUAGCGUUAUACAUAUAUAUUUUGUUAUAUUUUCAGGAUAUGGAUAAGAGUUGGAUUUCGCUUCCAAAAUGGGACAAAAGAUAUGGUAAAUGAAUUAUGAGUUUUCUGGAAUAUGCGCUGGCUAAUGCUAACGGGAAUACAAUUUUCUAUUGCCCGUGCACGAAAUGUCAGUGUCGCAACGAUAUGCAUCGAUUUGCGAUUGACAAAGU
rnacentral:lncRNA from 1 species